rnacentral:rRNA from 1 species
UACGUAGGUGGCAAGCGUUGUCCGGAAUUAUUGGGCGUAAAGAGCGCGCAGGCGGUCGCUCAAGUCGCGUGUGAAAGCCCCCGGCUCAACUGGGGAGGGUCACGCGAUACUGAUCGACUGGAAGGCAGGAGAGGGUAGUGGAAUUCCCGGUGUAGUGGUGAAAUGCGUAGAUAUCGGGAGGAACACCAGUGGCGAAGGCGACUACCUGGCCUGUUCUUGACGCUGAGGCGCGAAAGCUAGGGGAGCAAACGGG